rnacentral:rRNA from 1 species
AGCGAACGUUUGCGGCGGGCUUAACACAUGCAAGUCGAACGGGCUGUUCCUUCGGGGGCAGUCAGUGGCGCACGGGUGCGUAACACGUAGGUAAUCAACCCUCUGGUUGGGGAUAACACUUCGAAAGGAGUGCUAAUACCCGGUAUGGCGCAGCGGUCUUCGGAUCGCGGCGAGAAAGACCCGCAAGGGUUGCCAGAGGACGAGCCUGCGGCCCAUCAGCUAGUUGGCGAGGUAACGGCUCACCAAGGCGAAGACGGGUAGCUGGUCUGAGAGGAUGAUCAGCCACACUGGAACUGAGACACGGUCCAGACUCCCACGGGAGGCAGCAGUGGGGAAUAUUGCGCAAUGGGCGAAAGCCUGACGCAGCCACGCCGCGUGAGCGAUGAAGGCCUCGGUCGUAAGACUC